CCCCACUGCUAUCGAGAUGGGACUAAGCCAUGCUAGUUGAACGACCCGAACUAUGGCGGGAAGUGGCACACUGCUCAGUAACACGUAGCUAACCUACCCUUAGGACGGGUACAACCCCGGGAAACUGAGGUUAAUACCCGAUAGGUGUGGAAACCUGGAAUGGUACCACGCCCAAACGUAACGCAACCAUGUUUGCGUCAACGCCCAAGGAUGGGGCUGCGGCCGAUCAGGCAGUUGGUGAGGUAACGGCUCACCAAACCUUUGACCGGUACGGGCCAUGAGAGUGGUAGCCCGGAGAUGGGCACUGAGACAAGGGCCCAGGCCCUACGGGGCGCAGCAGGCGCGAAACCUCCACAAUUCACGAAAGUGAGAUGGGGCUAUCUCGAGUGCCGCCUGAUGAAGGCGGCUUUUCCAUUGUGUAAUGAGCCGUGGGAAUAAGAGGGGGGCAAGACUGGUGUCAGCCGCCGCGGUAACACCAGCCCCUCGAGUGGUGGGGAUGAUUAUUUGGCCUAAAGCGCCCGUAGCUGGCUCUGUAAAUCUCUCGUUAAAUCCAACGUCCUAAGCGUUGGGCUGCGAGGGAGACUGCAAAGCUAGAGGGUGGGAGAGGUCAGCGGUAUUCCUGGGGUAGGGGCGAAAUCCAUUGAUCCCAGGAGGACCACCAGUGGCGAAGGCUGCUGACUUGAACACGCCUGACAGUGAGGGACGAAAGCUGGGGUAGCGAAUCGGAUUAGAUACCCGAGUAGUCCCAGCCGUAAACGAUGCAGGCUAGGUGUUGGGUCGGCCAUGUGCUGGCUCAGUGCCACAGGGAAGCCAUUAAGCCUGCCGCCUGGGAGUACGGCCGCAAGGCUGAAACUUAAAGGAUUGGCGGGGAGCACCACCAGGCGUGAGCCUGCGUUUA
rnacentral:rRNA from 1 species